rnacentral:lncRNA from 1 species
AAAUCUGUAAGCCAGCCCCAACUAAAUGUUGUCCUUUAUAAGACUUGCUUUGGUCAUGGUAUCUGUUCACAGCAGUAAAAUCCUAAGACACCAACCUAAUGUGGCAAUAGCUCGUAAGGCCUUCUCUCCUCAACCUACAUCAGCCCUUCUCAACCUGUGGGUCACGACCCCUUUGGGGGUGGGAACAGCUCUUUCACAGGGGACGCCUAAGACCAUCAGAAAACACAGAUAUUUACAUUACGAUUCAUAGCAGUAGCAAAAUUACAGUUAUAAAGUAACAAUAAAAAAAA